rnacentral:rRNA from 1 species
CGCCUUGCCAGCCCGCUCAGAAACUCAAAGGAAGUUGACGGGGCCCGCACAAGCGGUGGAGUAUGUGGUUUAAUUCGAUGCAACGCGAAGAACCUUACCUGGUCUUGACAUCCCGGAGACCCUUAGGAAACUAGGGGUGCUUCCAUCUGGAAGAACCUGGAGACAGGUGCUGCAUGGCUGUCGUCAGCUCGUGUCGUGAGAUGUUGGGUUAAGUCCCGCAACGAGCGCAACCCUUGCCUUUAGUUGCCAGCAGUUCGGCUGGGCACUCUAAAGGGACUGCCGGUGUUAAACCGGAGGAAGGUGGGGAUGACGUCAAGUCCUCAUGGCCUUUAUGACCAGGGCUACACACGUACUACAAUGGCCGAUACAAAGGGCAGCGACACUGCGAGGUGAAGCCAAUCCCGUAAAAUCGGUCUCAGUCCGGAUUGGAGUCUGCAACUCGACUCCAUGAAGUUGGAAUCGCUAGUAAUCGUGGAUCAGCAUGCCACGGUGAAUACGUUCCCGGGCCUU